GGAAGAGCUGAAGCAGGCGCUCUUGGCUUGGCGCGGCCCGCUGCAAUCCAUGGAGGAACGCGCCGGCGAGCCACCAUCAUGCCUGGGCACUUACAGGAAGGCUUCGGCUGCGUGGUCACCAACCGAUUCGACCAGUUAUUUGACGACGAAUCGGACCCCUUUGAGGUGUUGAAGGCAGCAGAGAACAAGAAAAAAGAAGCCGGCAGGGGCGGCCUUGGGGGCUCUGGAGCCAAGAACGCAGCUCAGGCCGCAGCCCAGACCAACUCCACCGCGGCAGGCAAACAGCUGCGUAAAGAGUCCCAGAAAGACCGCAAGAACCCGCUGCCCCCCAGCGUUGACGUGGCUGACAAGAAAGAGGAGACGCAGCCGCCCGUGGCGCUUAAGAAAGAAGGAAUAAGACGUGUUGGAAGAAGACCUGAUCAACAGCUGCAGGGUGAAGGGAAAAUAAUUGACAGGAGACCAGAAAGGCGACCACCUCGUUAACGACGAUUUGAAAAGCCACUUGAAGAAAAGGGUGAAGGAGGAGAAUUUUCAGUUGAUAGACCGAUUAUUGACUGGCCUAUCCGAGGCCGUGGUGGUCUUGGAAGAGGUCGAGGAGGCCGUGGACGUGGAAUGGGCCGAGGAGAUGGAUUUGAUUCUCGUGGCAAACGUGAAUUUGAUAGGCAUAGUGGAAGUGAUAGAUCUUCUUUUUCACAUUACAGUGGCCUGAAGCAUGAGGACAAACGUGGAGGUAGCGGAUCUCACAACUGGGGAACUGUCAAAGAUGAAUUAACAGAGUCCCCAAAAUACAUUCAGAAACAAAUAUCUUAUAAUUGCAGUGACUUGGAUCAAUCAAAUGUGACUGAGGAAACACCUGAAGGUGAAGAACAUCCAGUUGCAGACACUGAAAAUAAGGAGAACGAAGUUGAAGAAGUAAAGGAAGAGGGUCCAAAAGAAAUGACUUUGGAUGAGUGGAAAGCUAUUCAAAAUAAGGACCGGGCAAAAGUAGAAUAUCCGAAAACCAAAUGAAGGUGCUGAUGGGCAGUGGAAGAAGGGAUUUGUUCUUCAUAAGUCAAAGAGUGAAGAGGCUCAUGCUGAAGAUUCGGUUAUGGACCAUCAUUCCCGGAAGCCAGCAAAUGAUUUAACGUCUCAGCUGGAGAUCAAUUUUGGAGACCUUGGCCGCCCAGGACGUGGUGGCAGGGGAGGACGAGGUGGCCGUGGGCGUGGUGGACGUCCAAACCGUGGCAGCAGAACUGACAAGUCAAGUGCUUCUGCUCCUGAUGUAGAUGACCCUGAGGCAUUCCCAGCUCUGGCUUAACUGGAUGCCCCAAGACAACCCUGGUUCCUUUGUGGACCCUCCCAUCUGAGGUUUUGCAUGCUUAAGGAUCCCAAACGACUUAAGAAUUUAAAA